rnacentral:lncRNA from 1 species
GUAAAUGCAUGCUUAAUAUAUAUAUAUAUAUAUAUAUAUAUAUAUAUAUAUAAAAGUAGAAGAGCGCAUACAUUCAAUUGGAAACUCAAGAGUUAUUACAAAGUUCAAAUUAUUACUCCAAUCGCUCGCCAGACACAAUCCAAGAUAUGAUCGAUCUCAAAAUCCUGAACUUUCUCUUGAGAUCAGAGAGUUUAUUAGGCAGCCACCACCUACUGUAGAUAAACAAGAAAAAAAGGCCGUAGUAGAAAUGGUGCGAGAGAACCCGUAGAAGAACUUUGUUGAAAUAUCCCGACCUCUGAUCCUACUAAAGAUUGUGCUUUUUCUUGAGAUCAGAGAGUUUAUUAGGCAGCCACCACCUACUGUAGAA